UACGUAGGGUGCAAGCGUUGUCCGGAAUUAUUGGGCGUAAAGCGCUCGUAGGCGGUCUGUUGCGUCGGCUGUGAAAACCCGGGGCUCAACCCCGGGCCUGCAGCCGAUACGGGCAGACUAGAGUUCGGCAGGGGAGACUGGAAUUCCUGGUGUAGCGGUGAAAUGCGCAGAUAUCAGGAGGAACACCGGUGGCGAAGGCGGGUCUCUGGGCCGAUACUGACGCUGAGGAGCGAAAGCGUGGGGAGCGAACAGG
rnacentral:rRNA from 1 species